CUGGAUAAAAAUGAAAACUUGCAAUACAGUUGAACCCCUUUAUAAGAGACAUGCACAGGAGAGCAAUGCUUGUCUUUUAUAUGAGAUGUCUCUCAUAAGCAGGGUACUACGUCAUGCAUUUUCUUAUCAACACCUACUUUUAUGUAGCGCACUGGUGUCUCUA
rnacentral:lncRNA from 1 species